rnacentral:rRNA from 1 species
AUUGAACGCUGGCGGCAUGCCUUACACAUGCAAGUCGAACGGUAACGCGGGGCAACCUGGCGACGAGUGGCGAACGGGUGAGUAAUGCAUCGGAACGUGCCCAGUAGUGGGGGAUAGCCCGGCGAAAGCCGGAUUAAUACCGCAUACGACCUACGGGUGAAAGCGGGGGACCGUAAGGCCUCGCGCUAUUGGAGCGGCCGAUGUCAGAUUAGGUUGUUGGUGGGGUAAAAGCCUACCAAGCCGACGAUCUGUAGCUGGUCUGAGGGGACGACCAGCCACACUGAGACUGAGACACGGCCCAGACUCCUACGGGAGGCAGCAGUGGGGAAUUUUGGACAAUGGGGGCAACCCUGAUCCAGCCAUGCCGCGUGCGGGAAGAAGGCCUUCGGGUUGUAAACCGCUUUUGUCAGGGAAGAAACGCUCUGGGCUAAUACCCCGGGGUAAUGACGGUACCUGAAGAAUAAGCACCGGCUAACUACGUGCCAGCCGCCGCGGUAAAAC